rnacentral:tRNA from 1 species
CAUAGAAUAGUUUAAUUUUAAAAUUAUAAUUUUGGAGAUUAUUGAUAAAGGUAUUUCUUUUUCUUUGA